GUAAGACUAUCUUUUGUUUUUCCUCUCUUUUACUUUGAUGAUUGUUAUGUUAUGAAGCUUUCCUUGUAUAAAGCUCAAUUUCUCCAUGACCACGGAAGUAAACAUCCUGAUGCAUUCUUGUCAUGUGAAUGUUGAGAGCGUGUUCAUUUUUGAAAUCUCCUUUCUGACAGACAUAUUCUACAGGAUCAGCUGAGAUGUUAUUUCACUGGAUUAUUUAAUGGAUAGGCUUAUUGGGCAUAUAUUUGGAUAUCUCUGUCAUCAACAUGGAAUGUAUGACUUCAUCUUUAUACAGUCGGGUUCGGGUUCGGCGGCCAUGGCGAAUCUCGGCAAGAUUUUACCCCAGUGAAAAAGGCUUGUAAUCCACAGUUCCUCAACCUGGAAGAUAUGUUUUGUUCCUAACCAUCUAUAAUCCAUUCUCUAUGAAGUGAAGCCUGGCUGCUGGUCUUCCUUUGGAAAUACACAGUUUGUCAAUCAAUAUAGAAACACACAAACUUGAAGGAUAUUCUAGUGAGGGCUUAUGGAAAUGAUCUAUGUCUACUCUCAGAAUGGUGAAAGACUAUCAGAUUAUGCAAAGACUAACAGGAUAUCCUCUCUUGGAACACUGAAACAAGAAAAUCAAACAGGAGGUGGAUGGAGGAUUUAAGAAGCAUGGUGAAAGACUAUCAGAUUAUGCAAAGACUAACAGAAUAUCCUCUCUUAAAACACUGAAACAAGAAAAUCAAACAGGAUGGAGGAUUUAAGAAGCACAUAGAUAAAUAUGAUUUCCAACCAAUUUAAGUACGGUCAUAGACUGUGGUUUACAGGAUGACAAAGAAAGGACCCAGGAUUGUAUCUUUUACUGUCAGACACUGACUAUGGAUAAUGUGUAAUUAUUUAUCAGACUGAGAUCUAGUCAAAUCAAGUAUUGAAAAUAUGAUUUUCUG